rnacentral:rRNA from 1 species
AUUGAACGCUGGCGGCAGGCCUAACACAUGCAAGUCGAGCGGUAGAGAGGUGCUUGCACCUCUUGAGAGCGGCGGACGGGUGAGUAAUGCCUAGGAAUCUGCCUGGUAGUGGGGGAUAACGCUCGGAAACGGACGCUAAUACCGCAUACGUCCUACGGGAGAAAGCAGGGGACCUUCGGGCCUUGCGCUAACAGAUGAGC